rnacentral:rRNA from 1 species
AGCAGCCGCGGUAAUUCCAGCUCCAAUAGCGUAUAUUAAAGUUGUUGCAGUUAAAAAGCUCGUAGUUGAAUUUCGGGAUCAAUACGUCGGUCGUGCUUUCGGGUACGUACUGGCGUCAUUGGUUUCUCCUUUCUGACGAACCAUGAUGUCAUUAAUUUGGUGUUAUGGGGAGUUAGGACUGUUACUUUGAAAAAAUUAGAGUGUUUAAAGCAGGCAUUAGCUUGAAUACAUUAGCAUGGAAUAAUGAAAUAGGACGUUCGAUCCUAUUUUGUUGGUUUCUAGGAUUGACGUAAUGAUUAAUAGGGAUAGUUGGGGGCAUUAGUAUUCAAUUGUCAGAGGUGAAAUUCUUGGAUUUAUUGAAGACUAACUACUGCGAAAGCAUUUGCCAAGGAUGUUUUCAUUAAUCAAGAACGAAAGUUAGGGGAUCGAAGACGAUCAGAUACCGUCGUAGUCUUAACCAUAAACUAUGCCGACUAGGGAUCGGAUGAUGUUAAUUUUUUAAUGUACUCAUUCGACGCCU